GGUUGAGUAACUUGCCCAAGGUUUCACAGCUAGGAAGUAAUGGAGCCCAAAUCUGAACUCAUGGGUGACUGCCUCCAGUGCAGAGACAGGGCCUGAAUUGAGUAGGACCUUGAAGGACAUACAGGUGUAGACAGAGGAAGGAAAGCCUGGAGGCUUCAUACAGAUAAAGAUGUCUACAUUGGGAACGAUGAGGAGGUGCAACACAGAUGCCUUAUUCUGUUGGAUUCCUGCAUAUGGGUCAGGAAUGAGUUAUUCUUUGGAAUACCUCUCCUGCCAAGAAAACGUGAAGAGGGGUUUAUGUGUGGUGUUAUUCAGGC
rnacentral:lncRNA from 1 species